UACGUAGGGGGCAAGCGUUAUCCGGAUUUACUGGGUGUAAAGGGAGCGUAGACGGCGUGCCAAGUCUGAUGUGAAAGGCCGGGGCUCAACCCCGGGACUGCAUUGGAAACUGGCAUGCUAGAGUGCCGGAGGGGCAAGCGGAAUUCCUAGUGUAGCGGUGAAAUGCGUAGAUAUCACACAGAACACCGAUUGCGAAGGCAUCUGACGAAUCGGAGAUUGACGCUGAUGCACGAAAGCGUGGGGAUCGAACAGG
rnacentral:rRNA from 1 species